GAUGAACGCUGGCGGCGUGCCUAAUACAUGCAAGUCGAGCGAACAGACGAGGAGCUUGCUCCUCUGACGUUAGCGGCGGACGGGUGAGUAACACGUGGAUAACCUACCUAUAAGACUGGGAUAACUUCGGGAAACCGGAGCUAAUACCGGAUAAUAUAUUGAACCGCAUGGUUCAAUAGUGAAAGACGGUUUUGCUGUCACUUAUAGAUGGAUCCGCGCCGCAUUAGCUAGUUGGUAAGGUAACGGCUUACCAAGGCAACGAUGCGUAGCCGACCUGAGAGGGUGAUCGGCCACACUGGAACUGAGACACGGUCCAGACUCCUACGGGAGGCAGCAGUAGGGAAGCUUCCGCAAUGGGCGAAAGCCUGACGGAGCAACGCCGCGUGAGUGAUGAAGGUCUUCGGAUCGUAAAACUCUGUUAUUAGGGAAGAACAAAUGUGUAAGUAACUCUGCACGUCUUGACGGUACCUAAUCAGAAAGCCACGGCUAACUACGUG
rnacentral:rRNA from 1 species